CUCUUCCCAUUCCGAACAGAGAAGUUAAGCCCGCCAGCGCCGAUGGUACUGCAAGGGAGACUUUGUGGGAGAGUAGGUCGUCGCCCAUUUUA
rnacentral:rRNA from 1 species